GACGAACGCUGGCGGCGUGCUUAACACAUGCAAGUCGAACGGAAAGGCCCUGCUUUUGUGGGGUGCUCGAGUGGCGAACGGGUGAGUAACACGUGAGUAACCUGCCCUUGACUUUGGGAUAACUUCAGGAAACUGGGGCUAAUACCGGAUAGGAGCUCCUGCUGCAUGGUGGGGGUUGGAAAGUUUCGGCGGUUGGGGAUGGACUCGCGGCUUAUCAGCUUGUUGGUGGGGUAGUGGCUUACCAAGGCUUUGAAGGGUAGCCGGCCUGAGAGGGUGACCGGCAACAUUGGGACUGAGAUACGGCCCAGACUCCUACGGGAGGCAGCAGUGGGGAAUAUUGCACAAUGGGCGGAAGCCUGAUGCAGCAACGCCGCGUGCGGGAUGACGGCAUUCGGGUUGUAAACCGCUUUCGCCUGUGACGAAGCGUGAGUGACGGUAAUGGGUAAAGAAGCACCGGCUAACUACGUG
rnacentral:rRNA from 1 species